rnacentral:rRNA from 1 species
UACAGAGGUGGCAAGCGUUGUUCGGAAUUACUGGGCGUAAAGGGCGCGUAGGCGGUCUUGUAAGUCUUGUGUGAAAUCCCUCGGCUUAACUGAGGAACUGCACGGGAUACUGCGAGACUUGAGAUCGGGAGAGGGAAGCGGAAUUCCGGGUGUAGCGGUGAAAUGCGUAGAUAUCCGGAGGAACACCGGUGGCGAAGGCGGCUUCCUGGACCGACACUGACGCUGAGGCGCGAAAGCUAGGGGGAGCAAACGGG